rnacentral:rRNA from 1 species
UGGGGAAUUUUGCACACUGGGGGAAACCCUGAUGCAGCGUCGCCGCGUGAUUUAGAAGGCCUUCGGGUUGUAAAAAUCUUUUCUAUGGGAAGAAAAUGACAGUACCAUAGGAAUAAGGACCGGCUAAUUACGUGCCAGCAGCCGCGGUAAUACGUAAGGUCCGAGCGUUGUCCGGAAUCAUUGGGCGUAAAGGGUACGUAGGCGGGUAAGCAAGUUAGAAGUGAAAUCCUAUAGCUCAACUAUAGUAAGCUUUUAAAACUGCUCAUCUUGAGGUAUGGAAGGGAAAGUGGAAUUCCUAGUGUAGCGGUGAAAUGCGCAGAUAUUAGGAGGAAUACCGGUGGCGAAGGCGACUUUCUGGCCAUAACCUGACGCUGAGGUACGAAAGCGGGGGUAGCAAACAGG